UGCUGAGGGUCAGAGCUGACGUUGCUCCGUCCCCUGAGGAUUUACCCCCAGCCCUGGGCCUUGGGGUCUCACGACCCUUGCACAUUCCUCAGGACCUGGACAGAGUCCAUACCACAGUGCUGCUGGGGCCAUGGGCUCCGACUGCAGCCUCCUGACGGGAGCCCUCCUUCCCAAGAAGGGGCUCCAUGCGGUGGGCAUGAGCCUCCCUCCUCUGAGCCGUGCCCGAGGAGCAGCCGCAGCCCCGGCUCCCUCCUUGUCAAACAGGUGGGCUUUGAGACCGAGCCCCUUCCUCCAAAGGUCUGGUAAUCAAUACGGAGCCAAGACCCAGGAUCCGGGUGUGACAGAUCCAGGAUCUGCAGUUGAGGCGUGAGCAGGGCCCGCAGUUCCCUAUGAGUUGAGUGGAG
rnacentral:lncRNA from 1 species